AUUGAACGCUGGCGGUAUGCCUUACACAUGCAAGUCGAACGGUAGAGGGGCAACCCUUGAGAGUGGCGAACGGGUGAGUAAUACAUCGGAACGUGCCCAGUCGUGGGGGAUAACGUAGCGAAAGCUACGCUAAUACCGCAUACGACCUGAGGGUGAAAGCGGGGGAUCGCAAGACCUCGCGCGAUUGGAGCGGCCGAUGGCAGAUUAGGUAGUUGGUGGGGUAAAGGCCUACCAAGCCUGCGAUCUGUAGCUGGUCUGAGAGGACGACCAGCCACACUGGGACUGAGACACGGCCCAGACUCCUACGGGAGGCAGCAGUGGGGAAUUUUGGACAAUGGGAGCAAUCCUGAACCAGCAAUGCCGCGUGUGGGAUGACAGGGCUUCGCCUUGUAAACCACUGUCGGACGGGACGAAAGGAGGCCUCGGGGCCUCUGGGACGGUACCGUCAAAGGAAGGGUCGGCUAACUACGUGCCAGCAGCCGCGGUAAU
rnacentral:rRNA from 1 species